GAUGAACGCUAGCGGCAGGCCUAACACAUGCAAGUCGAGGGAGAAGCCCUUCGGGGCAGAAACCGGCGCACGGGUGCGUAACGCGUAUGCAACCUACCUUUCACAGGGGGAUAGCCCGAAGAAAUUUGGAUUAAUACCCCAUAAUAUUAUUGGAUGGCAUCAUUUGAUAAUUAAAAUUACGAUGGUGAAUGAUGGGCAUGCGUCCUAUUAGCUAGUUGGAGUGGUAACGGCACCCCAAGGCUACGAUAGGUAGGGGUCCUGAGAGGGAGAUCCCCCACACUGGUACUGAGACAGGGACCAGACUCCUACGGGAGGCAGCAGUGAGGAAUAUUGGUCAAUGGUCGGAAGACUGAACCAGCCAUGCCGCGUGCAGGAAGAAUGCCUUAUGGGUUGUAAAUUGCUUUUAUAUGGGAAGAAUAAGGAGUACGCGUACUUUGAUGACGUACCAUAUGAAUAAGC
rnacentral:rRNA from 1 species